CAUUAACGAGUUAGGGUCUCUACGGCCCGACCUCCCAACCCUUUGUCUAUUUGACCAACGUUGCUUCGGCGAGCCCGUCUUCUAGGACCGCCGGAGGGACCGUCACUGGCCCUCUGGUCCGCGCUCGUCGAUGGCCCUAUCUUUUAAAAUCUUAACUAAACGUGUCUCCAUCUAAGCAUUAUCAUUAAAUAAAAGCAAAACUUUCAACAACGGAUCUCUUGGUUCUGGCAUCGAUGAAGAACGCAGCGAAAUGCGAUAAGUAAUGCGAAUUGCAGAAUUCCAGUGAGUCAUCGAAUCUUUGAACGCACAUUGCGCCCUUUGGUAUUCCGAAGGGCAUGCCUGUUCGAGCGUCAUUAUCACCCCUCAAGCCCCUGGCUUGGUGUUGGACGGUUUGGUGGAGGCCCCCUCCGGGCUCCUGCCCCUCCUAAAGACAAUGACGGCGGCCUGGUUGGACCCCCGGUACACUGAGUUCUUCACGGGACACGUAUCGGACACAUGGGUUUACGGCCCCGGUCUGCCUCCCCUCAGGGAGAAUCUUCUCUAAGGUUGACCUCGGAUCAGGUAGGGAUACC
rnacentral:rRNA from 1 species